CAACUCUCGGAGUAUCUCUCUAGCCUUCUCUGUCCUUGUAAAAAUACCCUUUGAAAUUUUGUAGUAUUUUGAAUUCAGCAAUAAAAAUCAAAAAGGUCAUUUGGCCACAAACAACCGGUCUCUGAUGCUGUUCUACUCUCUCUUUAUUUAUAAUAUUUGAAGUAUUGUUUGCCUAAAUGAUAGGCUAAACAAGUAAGUGUUAAGCUUAGUAUUCAAAGGUUAUUUACAAAGAAUACUUUGUUGUCCAAAAUGAACGGUAUCACCCGGAAAGUGUUAGAUUAAGAACUAUAUAGACCAGACAGUUACUACCUCGACAGUAAACCUUGGUUAGGAUAUCCUAACCGGCGGUGCUCGUAAACUCGUUUAGGCAGGUGGCCUUGAAGAGUUGUGAGGAGUAUCGUGGUUUAAGAUUUACCUAAAGGUUGGUAAUAUGUCUCGAAUAGAGUUCUUGCAAUUCUUCCUGAACCUAAUUCGGAUUUGAAUGGGUAGUUAUUUUUUAUAUAUUUAUUUUUUACUUUUUUAAUUAUAAGAUAUCUAUAUUUAUUAAUCUAAAUAAAGUAACCAAUUAAUAUGUAUGUAUGUAUGUAUGUAUAUAUAUAUA
rnacentral:lncRNA from 1 species